rnacentral:piRNA from 1 species
UAUGAAUGAAGCACACAAUAUGAGUGUAC